GCCUGAAUAGCUCAGUUGGUUAGAGCAUGGUGCUGAUAAUACCAAGAUUGCAGGUUCCAGUCCUUGUAUGGGAA